AAUUGAGCUUUUGGUUUCUUGCUUCAGGGGGGAGGUUCAAUAAGUGAGGGGCCAAAAAAGGGGCCUAAAUAAGCAUGUUUGUAGUUUUCAGUCAAUUACUUGUGUUUAAGUGUAUAAAUCUCCUUAAAAUUAUACCACAAGUUUCCAUACUACAAAGGGAUGGUUAUAGGGGGUUAUGGCUCAAAUCAUUAAGCAAUUAGGGACACAAAAAAGGGGA
rnacentral:lncRNA from 1 species